rnacentral:rRNA from 2 species
AAACCAACAGGGAUUGCCUCAGUAACGGCGAGUGAAGCGGCAAAAGCUCAAAUUUGAAAUCCUUCGGGAGUUGUAAUUUGUAGGUUGGGAGACCCCGCGGCUAGUGGCACCAAGUCCCUUGGAACAGGGCGCCUUAGAGGGUGAGAGCCCCGUAGGUACCACAACACCGUCUUGUGUCUCCUCUCCAAAGAGUCGAGUUGUUUGGGAAUGCAGCUCAAAGUGGGUGGUAAAUUCCAUCUAAAGCUAAAUACCGGCGAGAGACCGAUAGCGAACAAGUACAGUGAUGGAAAGAUGAAAAGCACUUUGAAAAGAGAGUGAAACAGUACGUGAAAUUGUUGAAAGGGAAGGGCUUGCAAGCAGACACGGCCUUCGUGCCGGGCCAGCAUCGGUUGCUAGGGGUGGAUAAGGAACAAGGAAUGUAGCUCCUCGGAGUAUUAUAGCCUUGCGCGAUACACCCACUGGCGACCGAGGCCUG